rnacentral:rRNA from 1 species
AGAGUUUGAUCCUGGCUCAGAACGAACGCUGGCGGCAGGCCUAACACAUGCAAGUCGAGCGAGCCCUUCGGGGCUAGCGGCGGACGGGUGAGUAACGCGUGGGAACGUGCCCUUCUCUACGGAAUAGCCUCGGGAAACUGAGAGUAAUACCGUAUACGCCCUUCGGGGGAAAGAUUUAUCGGAGAAGGAUCGGCCCGCGUUGGAUUAGGUAGUUGGUGGGGUAAUGGCCUACCAAGCCGACGAUCCAUAGCUGGUUUGAGAGGAUGAUCAGCCACACUGGGACUGAGACACGGCCCAGACUCCUACGGGAGGCAGCAGUGGGGAAUCUUAGACAAUGGGGGAAACCCUGAUCUAGCCAUGCCGCGUGAGUGACGAAGGCCUUAGGGUCGUAAAGCUCUUUCGCUGGGGAAGAUAAUGACGGUACCCAGUAAAGAAACCCCGGCUAACUCCGUGCCAGCAGCCGCGGUAAUACGGAGGGGGUUAGCGUUGUUCGGAAUUACUGGGCGUAAAGCGCACGUAGGCGGGCUGUUAAGUCGGGGGUGAAAUCCCGGGGCUCAACCCCGGAACUGCCUUCGAUACUGGCAGCCUUGGGUUCGAGAGAGGUGAGUGGAAUUCCGAGUGUAGAGGUGAAAUUCGUAGAUAUU